AGUGAACGCUGGCGGUAGGCCUAACACAUGCAAGUCGAACGGCAGCACAGUAAGAGCUUGCUCUUACGGGUGGCGAGUGGCGGACGGGUGAGGAAUACAUCGGAAUCUACUUUUUCGUGGGGGAUAACGUAGGGAAACUUACGCUAAUACCGCAUACGACCUACGGGUGAAAGCAGGGGAUCUUCGGACCUUGCGCGAUUGAAUGAGCCGAUGUCGGAUUAGCUAGUUGGCGGGGUAAAGGCCCACCAAGGCGACGAUCCGUAGCUGGUCUGAGAGGAUGGGCAGCGCCAUGAGAACUGAGAGUCGGUCCAGACUCCGACGGGAGGCAGCAGUGGGGAAGAUUGGACAAUGGUCGAAGGCCGGAUCAAGCCAUACCGCGUGAAUGAAGAAGGCAUUCGAGUUGUAAAGCCCUUUUGUUGAAAAAGAAAUACGUCCGGCUAAUACCCCGGGGUGAUGACGGGACCCAGAGAAUAGGCCCGGGCUAGCUUCGUG
rnacentral:rRNA from 1 species